rnacentral:rRNA from 1 species
GAGUUUGAUCAUGGCUCAGAUUGAACGCUGGCGGCAUGCCUUACACAUGCAAGUCGAACGGCAGCACGGGAGCUUGCUCCUGGUGGCGAGUGGCGAACGGGUGAGUAAUGCAUCGGAACGUAUCCUGGAGUGGGGGAUAACGUAGCGAAAGUUACGCUAAUACCGCAUAUUCUGUGAGCAGGAAAGCGGGGGACCUUCGGGCCUCGCGCUCUUGGAGCGGCCGAUGUCGGAUUAGCUAGUUGGUGAGGUAAAGGCUCACCAAGGCGACGAUCCGUAGCAGGUCUGAGAGGAUGAUCUGCCACACUGGAACUGAGACACGGUCCAGACUCCUACGGGAGGCAGCAGUGGGGAAUUCUGGACAAUGGGGGCAACCCUGAUCCAGCCAUGCCGCGUGAGUGAAGAAGGCCU